rnacentral:rRNA from 1 species
CCUACGGGGGGCAGCAGUGAGGAAUAUUGGUCAAUGGCCGGAAGGCUGAACCAGCCAUGCCGCGUGAAGGUCAGUGCCCUAUGGGCGUUAAACUUCUUUUGUGCGGGAGCAAUAAUGGUCACGUGUGGCCAGACGAGAGUACCGUACGAAUAAGCAUCGGCUAACUCCGUGCCAGCAGCCGCGGUAAUACGGGGGAUGGAAGCGUUAUCCGGAUUUAUUGGGUUUAAAGGGUGCGUAGGCUGUGAGGUAAGUCAGCGGUGAAAUGCCCCGGGUCAAGGGGGUGAAGUGCCAUUGAUACUGGAUGGCUGGAGUGCGGAUGAGGUGAGUGGAAUGUGUGGUGUAGCGGUGAAAUGCGUAGAUAUCA